CCAGAACCAGAAGUUCGGUUGUAACUUGGUGGAUUUCUGGGCACCUUUUCUAAAGUGACACAGUAAAAAAUGAACAGCAAUAAUUUUCUUUCUUUAACCUUUCAUAAAGAAAAAUGAGGCUGUUAAUUUUCACCAUAUUGUUCAUACAUGAAUAAAUAUCAGAGUUCCAACAUUCGCCAGCUUUACUGUACAAACUGAAUAUUGAAAUUAAGUAUUUAGUUAGGAAUUUAAAUAUUUAAUUUGAUAGCUAAAUAUUAUGACGUAAUUUCUCCCUCUGACCAGAACCGAACCACGAACCCAGUCGCCUCCUCUGUUCCUGGAGAGUUUCAUUGUUAGAGCGCCUCAUGCUGGCCAGGUUCUGUUACUACAGCACGUCGGGUCUUCAUGGGUUUGCAUGAAAACAUUUUCAGAAAAAACGUCAUGUUCACCAGGAACCUAAAAAAAACACACAAACAAAAAGUGGAGAAAACUUUCAGGUUUGACCAGCCGACUGGACGGCGGCCGCGUGUGGCCCCCGAGCCGCGUGUUGAGCCCCUCGGUGACGUGGUGAGUGAUGCGCGGCCGCCCUGGUGUUGAGAAAUGGCCGGAUUCUGGCAGCGCUGCCAUCGGCCUGAUUCACAACACCAGCUGCAGCAGCACGUCAGAGAGGAGGUUCGGCUGUCGGUCCGGUUCCGAUGCGCCUGCAGCAGACAGAACUGCAGGGAGGAUGAUGAGGACGAAGGCCCCGAACCGGAACCGGCAGCCAUCUGCCAACAGGCAACACGCCGCAGAUCACCGCGCCUGCAGCAACUUGUCCUCAGACAUUCUGGAUGAUUUACUGUCAAAAACAAAACCAUGAAGAAUGAAAUGAUGAUCUGAAGGUUUUUCUUCCAUUUUCAGGAAAUGCUGACAAAUGAUUCGUCCGACACUGAACAGUUUUUUAAAUGAUCAGCCAAUCAGCGAGCAGAUCUAAAUCUGCUGCUUGAAUCCAGAAAAAUGACUAAAAUCUGAUUUAAUUAGCAACCAGUUGAUGAGAUGGUCCUAAAGCUCAAGCUACAUCUGCGAUCAGAGACUUCCUGUCGGAAGUGGAUUGGGUCAGAGGAUGAUUAAGGGUCAGGUGUUUCAUCUCCAUGGAGACAGUCCAACAGAACCAGCGUCCCCUUCUGCACAUUUAGAACAAACUUCAGUUUUUCAUGAUUUUUUGAGUCAAAAAAACUUUUUAGACGAAGGAAAUAAAGAUCAACAUCUGGAACACGACGUGUUCAUUUACAGUAAAUCAUUUCUGACCCGCAGCCCUGAACGCAUCCUGCUGGUUGAGCACCUACCACUUUUUUCUUCCACUCAACUUUCCAUUAAUACACUUGGAUGCAAAAAUGAAUAUGGAGAUAACUGAACAGGCCCGCUUUAUCAUUCUUUAUGAUUAUUGUAACUAUAAACUGGAUUCGGGGUUUUAAUUGCUGGAAGCCGUAAAAUAAACUUCUGAAAUAUUUUUGCUCCA